CUUCUCUCCUUUCUCUCCCUUCACUCUCUUUGGAUUCAACCCUCUUCAUACGCUUUCAUUGGUUUCGGGGCUGACAGCACUGCCUCCUCCCUAUGAAUUCCAUUGAUUUUCUUUCAUUCUACUGCAUUCACUACAAGGAUUGAAGGGAUUUAUUGAAAAUUGCUAGAUACUAGUCUCAAUUUGACAACUCGACCGCCGGGAAGGUUCCGAUAUCCCUCUGGCUUUUUAGGUUGGCAUAACGAAGAGAACGAGUGCCAAGAAACGAAAUACACCCUUCCCUUUUGGUUUGAAUCUAUCAAACUUGAUCAACUGUUUAAGACUAAUUCUAAUGUAGGGGAGCUCCUGAUAGACUUGAAACCCUUAAUUCUAAUUUCCAGCAUGAAUAUAUAAAUGCUUCUGUAUAGAUAAAACAUGUAAUUUUAACCUUGAAAACAAAUUAUACUCCUCUAGAAACUAACAAAGUUAAUUCAAUUAAUGAUAUUUGAUGGAGAUUAAUCGAAUGAUAGAUGGAGAGAAAUCAAAUUGUGAGCAACAUCCUAGGAAAAUGGUUCCUGAAAGAGUAUAAGUUUUUUUCUGAAACAUCUUUCGGAUCUUGCCUUGUGUAGAUUAAAUCAAUUCAUUUCCUCACAGUCGAUUCUGCUACACAAGGCAACAUCCUAGGCAAAUGCCUUGUUGCUCAUUCGUUUGUAAUGAUGAUCAUCAUCCUAGGCUGAUGGUUCCAGAAGGAGGAUAAGCUUCUUAAUGAAAGUCAAGUUUUUUUUUUUUCUAAAAUUUUUAAAGAAAAGACAUCUUAGGGAAAUGGACACGCGAAGACAAGUACAUAAGCAUUAGGAAGUUGCUUCACCCAAGACAUAUACUGGAGGAAAAAAGCACUUGGCCGUACCACAUUAAAGGCAGGGGGCAAGGUAACAAGGAUCAACUUGAGGCAAAGAUGAGGUGAGCUGAGGAAUGACAUGACCCUUAAGACCGAUUGACAGUCAAAGUUCUUCCUCUAAAUGACAAUUCUUAGUAAAGCACAAGAAUUGUUUCCACGUACGACACCAUAUGCUGAUACCAAAAUCUAGUCCAAUGGUGAAUAGGCAUAGUAUUGAUCAAAUAAUGACUACAAAAUGUGCAAGUGGUACACUGAUGUGGUGUUGAGCUUAGUCAUUUGAUCAAGUUUGUCUUCUCUGGCUUGCAAGGGGUCUGCUAUUCUGUGGGAUCUUUGGGAUGAGCAGAAUAAUGGAGUGUUUAUAGGAUUGGAAAAGGAUCCUAGUGAUGUUUGAUUCCUUGUUAGAUUUCAUGUUUCCCUCUAGGCUUCAAUUUCAAGAACUUUUUGUAAUUAAUCCAGUUUUUUCUUCUUCUUCUUCUUCUUCUUUUUUUUUUUUCUUGUAUAGCUCUUUCUUUUAAUUGGGAUCCUUCGUGGACUUUGUUUUUUGUAUGCUCUUGUACUCUUUCAUUUUACUCCAUGAAAGUUGUUUCAAUAAAUAAAAAAUAAAAGGUUAGUAUCGGUUUUGUGAGUAACCUA